AACGAACGCUGGCGGCAGGCUUAACACAUGCAAGUCGAACGCCCCGCAAGGGGAGUGGCAGACGGGUGAGUAACGCGUGGGAAUCUACCCAUCCCUAGGGGAUAACACAGAGAAAUUUGUGCUAAUACCCUAUACGUCCUCCGGGAGAAAGAUUUAUCGGGGAUGGAUGAGCCCGCGUUGGAUUAGCUAGUUGGUGGGGUAAUGGCCUACCAAGGCGACGAUCCAUAGCUGGUCUGAGAGGAUGACCAGCCACACUGGGACUGAGACACGGCCCAGACUCCUACGGGAGGCAGCAGUGGGGAAUAUUGGACAAUGGGCGCAAGCCUGAUCCAGCCAUGCCGCGUGAGUGACGACGGCCUUAGGGUUGUAAAGCUCUUUCACCCACGACGAUAAUGACGGUAGUGGGAGAAGAAGCCCCGGCUAACUUCGUGCCAGCCGCCGCGGUAAUAC
rnacentral:rRNA from 1 species